GUAAAGUAAAAAAAACCCCAAAAAUAUAUUUUCACUGUAAAAUCCCUCCAAAAAUUCACUUUCACCCUAAAAUCUCUCCCAAAAAUUCACUUUCACACUGCAAUCCCUAAUUAAGCGGCGACUUCAAUUCUGUUCAAAGUUCAGAAGGUUGCAAACUUCAUCAGUCAGAACUCAAAAGGUUGCAAAAUUCAUCACCUCAAACUCAGAAGGUUAUGACACCAAGUAAGCAAUGGAUGUAACUUGUUGAUAACCGACUUGACGAAACCUAUUUAAUUGGGGUGCAAUUAAAAGAACUGAGGCAAUUAAAAGAAUUAUUAUUAGCACAACAAACUAAUUUCCCGCCUCCAGUUCAGGAGAAUGACUAUUCAGAUCCUUGAUGAUACCAAGUUUUGGAUAUUAAAGUUUACAAGAAGCAGAUUUUUAACGACAUAUAGAUUGAACCAUCUUUUUGCUGGGAAUGUCAAGAAAAUUGUACAUUACAAUUGAGGGAUAUUAGUGAUAUGUAGUUUUUUGCUAAAUGUUUAUGAACACUAUAUUGUGACUAGCUUACAUCAUUGAUAUACUGUGCAACUAA